CCUACGGGCGACUGCAGUCGAGAAUCAUUCACAAUGGGGGAAACCCUGAUGGUGCGACGCCGCGUGGGGGAAUGAAGGUCUUCGGAUUGUAAACCCCUGUCAUGUGGGAGCAAAUUAAAAAGAUAGUACCACAAGAGGAAGAGACGGCUAACUCUGUGACAGCAGCCGCGGUAAUCAAGAGGUCUCAAGCGUUGUUCGGAAUCACUGGGCGUAAAGCGUGCGUAGGCUGUUUCGUAAGUCGUGUGUGAAAGGCGCGGGCUCAACCCGCGGACGGCACAUGAUACUGCGAGACUAGAGUAAUGGAGGGGGAACCGGAAUUCUCGGUGUAGCAGUGAAAUGCGUAGAUAUCGAGAGGAACACUCGUGGCGAAGGCGGGUUCCUGGACAUUAACUGACGCUGAGGCACGAAGGCCAGGGGAGCGAAAGGGAUUAGAUACCCUUGUAGUC
rnacentral:rRNA from 1 species